CAAAGUGCUGGUCCGUGGAGAGAAUGAAGGGGACCUGCCAGUUCCCGUCUGCAUGUAACUCACCACGUUCUACAGAGACAGCAGUACCUAGGGCAGCACAGACUCUACUCAACAGUCUACACAGAGAUGACAACAACCAGGUCUAGCUACUUGGCAGCCUGAGACAUAUAACCGUGAUCAUUCUCUUGGGUAUUUAUGUGACCAAGGCUUCAAAUUGCAAAUUGAGAAAUGAACAGCAGAAGGCAAAUUUACUACAAUCUCUUAAGCUAAUGAUGCUGAACAUUCUUUUCAUGGACUGCUCUGCCACAUGAGUGUCUGCCUGCCUGCUGUCUGACAGAGUCCUCGUCUCAGAAGACAGGAAAUGCAGACCUUUGUUCUCACUUCUGUGGUCAAAGACUGUCUCCAAAACCAAAACCGAGGGUGCUAGGAUCAAAGGUGUGCACCACUAUGCCUGCAACUAUUUUUAAAGAUAAAGUAACUCGAACUUCAACUUCAGAGACACAGGUGAUGUUAUAAGGUGGG